CAAGUAUCACUGUCACCAAUAAGAAAUAUCAAUAGAGGAUUCAUUAAGGUUUGAUAACUUCUCUUACCAUUCCCAAGGCAUAGGGUACAUACCUCUCACAAUGUGCCUAAAUAUAGCCGUCCUCAAGUGUACUCCAGUUGUUUGAAGACUCUGUGAGCCAUAGCACUGACUAACCAGGAGAGAGCAAACAUCAAUCACCUGACUGUUUUUAGCUUGAUAAGCAAUUGAUGG